rnacentral:rRNA from 1 species
AUCUGGGCGGCGGAAUUCAGGAUGGCUGGCGCGUCUUCGCGGCGCGUCGGUCGUUUGAUAUUUCCGUCGCCGAUCACCCGCAGACGUCGCGACCUGUUCGCGGUCGGUCCCUGCUUGGAGGAGCCGCGUUCGAGUUCGUUGCGUGCGCGUUUCGGCGUGUCACGCGGCGAAGACGCGGAUCUCUGGCUGGCCGUCGGACAGUAUGCUCAACGGUGUCCGGUGUCGCCGCGCGCGUUCACCGGUACCGGUCAGCGACGAAUUCUUCGGGCCUCUUUCCGACCCGUCUUGAAACACGGACCAAGGAGUCUAACAUGCGCGCGAGUCGCGGGGUGUCGAGCGUACUUCGGUACGUUCGUUACGUUGCGAAACCCGUACAUGUCGAAGGCGUAAUGAAAGUGAAUGGGGAAGAUGGUGUUCCGAGUACACGUUCCGCGAUCGUCGGUAUCGCGGCCGGACACCCGCAUUCCCGGGGCGUCUCAACGGCCCGUCGCUGAUGCGGACAGUCGUCUCUCGGGGCGGCUGUCGGUCGGCGAUGAACCGA